GAUGAACGCUGGCGGCGUGCCUAACACAUGCAAGUCGAGGGAUUCUCUUCGGAGAAGAGCGGCGAACGGGUGAGUAACGCGUGGGUAACCUGCCCUGUACACACGGAUAACAUACCGAAAGGUAUGCUAAUACGAGAUAAUAUGCUUUUAUCGCAUGGUAGAAGUAUCAAAGCUUUUGCGGUACAGGAUGGACCCGCGUCUGAUUAGCUAGUUGGUAAGGUAACGGCUUACCAAGGCGACGAUCAGUAGCCGACCUGAGAGGGUGAUCGGCCACAUUGGAACUGAGACACGGUCCAAACUCCUACGGAGGCAGCAGUGGGGAAUAUUGCACAAUGGGCGAAAGCCUGAUGCAGCAACGCCGCGUGAGCGAUGAAGGCCUCGGGUCGUAAAGCUCUGUCCUCAAGGAAGAGUAAUGACGGUACUUGAGGAGGAAGCCCCGGCUAACUACGU
rnacentral:rRNA from 1 species